GACGUAGGGCGCGAGCGUUGUCCGGAUUUAUUGGGCGUAAAGAGCUCGUAGGCGGCUUGUCGCGUCGAAUGUGAAAACUCGGGGCUCAACUCCGAGCUUGCAUUCGAUACGGGCAGGCUAGAGUUCGGUAGGGGAGACUGGAAUUCCUGGUGUAGGCGGUGAAAUGCGCAGAUAUCAGGAGGAACACCGGUGGCGAAGGCGGGUCUCUGGGCCGAUACUGACGCUGAGGAGCGAAAGCGUGGGGAGCGAACAGG
rnacentral:rRNA from 1 species